ACGGAAGGCAGCAGUGGGGAAUAUUGCACAAUGGGCGGAAGCCUGAUGCAGCGACGCCGCGUGAGGGAUGACGGCCUUCGGGUUGUAAACCUCUUUCGACAGGGACGAAGCGAGAGUGACGGUACCUGGAGAAGAAGCACCGGCCAACUACGUGCCAGCAGCCGCGGUAAGACGUAGGGUGCGAGCGUUGUCCGGAUUUAUUGGGCGUAAAGAGCUCGUAGGCGGCUCGUCGCGUCGACCGUGAAAACCCGCGGCUUAACUGCGGGCUUGCGGUUGAUACGGGCGGGCUAGAGUUCGGUAGGGGAGACUGGAAUUCCUGGUGUAGCGGUGAAAUGCGCAGAUAUCAGGAGGAACACCGGUGGCGAAGGCGGGUCUCUGGGCCGAUACUGACGCUGAGGAGCGAAAGCGUGGGGAGCGAACAGGAUUAGAUACCCUGGUA
rnacentral:rRNA from 1 species